rnacentral:rRNA from 1 species
UACGUAGGUGGCAAGCGUUGUCCGGAUUUACUGGGCGUAAAGAGCGCGCAGGCGGUCGUUCAAGUCGCGUGUGAAAGCCCUGGGCUCAACCUGGGAAUUGCAUUGGAUACUGGCAGGCUAGAGUGCGGUAGAGGAUGGCGGAAUUCCCGGUGUAGCAGUGAAAUGCGUAGAGAUCGGGAGGAACACCAGUGGCGAAGGCGGCUUUCUGGCCUGUUCUUGACGCUGAGGCGCGAAAGCUAGGGGAGCAAACGGG